UACGGGGGGGGGCAAGCGUUGUUCGGAAUUACUGGGCGUAAAGGGCGCGUAGGUGGCCAACUAAGUCAGACGUGAAAUCCCUCGGCUUAACCGGGGAACUGCGUCUGAUACUGGAUGGCUUGAGUUUGGGAGAGGGACGCGGAAUUCCAGGUGUAGCGGUGAAAUGCGUAGAUAUCUGGAGGAACACCGGUGGCGAAGGCGGCGUCCUGGACCAAUACUGACACUGAAACGCGAAAGCCAGGGGAGCAAACGGG
rnacentral:rRNA from 1 species